UACUGGUGCCAGCAGCCGCGGUAAUUCCAGCUCCAUAGCGUAUAUUAAGUUGUUGACAGUUAAAAGCUCGUAGUUGAAUUCGGGGUUAGUAGGUUGGUCAUGCCUCUGGUAUGUACUGGUCUCACUGAUUCCUCCUUCCUGAUGAGCCGUAAUGCCAUUAAUUUGGUGUUGCGGGAAUUUGGACUGUUACUUUAGAAAAAUUAGAGUGUUUAAAGCAAGCUAACGCUUGAAUACAUUAGCAUGGAAUAAUGAAAUAGGACGUUCGAUCCUAAUUUUGUUGGUUUCUAGGAUUGACGUAAUGAUUAAUAGGGAUAGUUGGGGGCAUUAGUAUUCAAUUGUCAGAGGUGAAAUUCUUGGAUUUAUUGAAGACUAACUACUGCGAAAGCAUUUGCCAAGGAUGUUUUCAUUAAUCAAGAACGAAAGUUAGGGGAUCGAAAACGAUCAGAUACCGUCGUAGUCUUAACCAUAAACUAUGCCGACUAGGGAUCGGAUGAUGUUAAUUUUUUAAUGACUCAUUCGGCGCCUUACG
rnacentral:rRNA from 1 species